rnacentral:rRNA from 1 species
AGUGAACGCUGGCGGUAGGCCUAACACAUGCAAGUCGAACGGCAGCACAGUAAGAGCUUGCUCUUACGGGUGGCGAGUGGCGGACGGGUGAGGAAUACAUCGGAAUCUACUUUUUCGUGGGGGAUAACGUAGGGAAACUUACGCUAAUACCGCAUACGACCUACGGGUGAAAGCAGGGGAUCUUCGGACCUUGCGCGAUUGAAUGAGCCGAUUUCGGAUUAGCUAGUUGGCGGGGUAAAGGCCCACCAAGGCGACGAUCCGUAGCCGGUCUGAGAGGAUGAUCAGCCACACUGGAACUGAGACACGGUCCAGACUCCUACGGGAGGCAGCAGUGGGGAAUAUUGGACAAUGGGCGCAAGCCUGAUCCAGCCAUACCGCGUGGGUGAAGAAGGCCUUCGGGUUGUAAAGCCCUUUUGUUGGGAAAGAAAAGCAGCAGGUUAAUACCCCGCUGUUCUGACGGUACCCAAAGAAUAAGCACCGGCUAACUUCGUG